rnacentral:piRNA from 1 species
UAGGGAGCCUAAGGGUGCUUUUGGGAGCCU